UACGAAGGGGGCUAGCGUUGCUCGGAAUCACUGGGCGUAAAGCGCACGUAGGCGGAUUGUUAAGUCAGGGGUGAAAUCCUGGAGCUCAACUCCAGAACUGCCUUUGAUACUGGCGAUCUCGAGUCCGGGAGAGGUGAGUGGAACUGCGAGUGUAGAGGUGAAAUUCGUAGAUAUUCGCAAGAACACCAGUGGCGAAGGCGGCUCACUGUCCCGGUACUGACGCUGAGGUGCGAAAGCGUGGGGAGCAAACAGG
rnacentral:rRNA from 1 species